rnacentral:rRNA from 1 species
AUUGAACGCUGGCGGCAGGCCUAACACAUGCAAGUCGAGCGGAUGAGAGGAGCUUGCUUCUCGAUUCAGCGGCGGACGGGUGAGUAAUGCCUAGGAAUCUGCCUAGUAGUGGGGGACAACGUUUCGAAAGGAACGCUAAUACCGCAUAAGUCCUACGGGAGAAAGUGGGGGAUCUUCGGACCUCACGCCAUUAGAUGAGCCUAGGCCGGAUUAGCUGGUUGGUAGGGUAAAGGCCAACCAAGGCGACGAUCCGUAACUGGUCUGAGAGGAUGAUCAGUCAAAAUGGAACUUAGACACGGUCCAGACUCCUACGGGAGGCAGCAGUGGGGAAUAUUGGACAAUGGGCGCAAGCCUGAUCCAGCCAUGCCGCGUGUGUGAAGAAGGCCCUCGGGUCGUAAAGCACUUUAAGUUGGGAGGAAGGGCUUACAGCGAAUACCUGUGAGUUUUGACGUUACCGGCAGAAUAAGCACCGGCUAACUUCGUGCCAGCAGCCGCCGUAA